UCCCUCGAGCCGGAUUUGAACCAGCGACCUAAGCAUCACCGUUGUAACAUCUACAGUCGGGUUAAACACGGGCGUUGCCCGGGUCAUUCGGCUAGUAUAUAAUAUAAAUGAGUUUUAAAAAUUGUAAAAAAAAAUGCAUCGGCCGGCUCGCGUGGCAGGCGAGCAUUCUACCACUGAACCACCGAUGAG